GGGGAUUUAGCUCAGUGGUAGAGCGCUUGCCUAGGAAGCGCAAGGCCCUGGGUUCAAUCUCCA
rnacentral:tRNA from 1 species